rnacentral:rRNA from 1 species
GACGGGUGAGUAACACGUGGGUAACCUGCCCAUAAGACUGGGAUAACUCCGGGAAACCGGGGCUAAUACCGGAUAACAUUUUGAACCGCAUGGUUCGAAAUUGAAAGGCGGCUUCGGCUGUCACUUAUGGAUGGACCCGCGUCGCAUUAGCUAGUUGGUGAGGUAACGGCUCACCAAGGCAACGAUGCGUAGCCGACCUGAGAGGGUGAUCGGCCACACUGGGACUGAGACACGGCCCAGACUCCUACGGGAGGCAGCAGUAGGGAAUCUUCCGCAAUGGACGAAAGUCUGACGGAGCAACGCCGCGUGAGUGAUGAAGGCUUUCGGGUCGUAAAACUCUGUUGUUAGGGAAGAACAAGUGCUAGUUGAAUAAGCUGGCACCUUGACGGUACCUAACCAGAAAGCCACGGCUAACUACGUGCCAGCAGCCGCGGUAAUACGUAGGUGGCAAGCGUUAUCCGGAAUUAUUGGGCGUAAAGCGCGCGCAGGUGGUUUCUUAAGUCUGAUGUGAAAGCCCACGGCUCAACCGUGGAGGGUCAUUGGAAACUGGGAGACUUGAGUGCAGAAGAGGAAAGUGGAAUUCCAUGUGUAGCGGUGAAAUGCGUAGAGAUAUGGAGGAACACCAGUGGCGAAGGCGACUUUCUGGUCUGUAACUGACACUGAGGCGCGAAAGCGUGGGGAGCAAACAGGAUUAGAUACC